rnacentral:rRNA from 1 species
AACCCUUAUCUUUAAUUGCCAGCAUUCAGUUGGGCACUUUAAAGAGACUGCCGGUGUUAAACCGGAGGAAGGUGGGGAUGACGUCAAGUCCUCAUGGCCUUAUGCUUAGGGCUACACACGUGCUACAAUGGGUGGUACAAAGAGAAGCCAACUCGCGAGAGCGCGCCAAUCUCAAAAAGCCAUCCUCAGUUCGGAUUGGAGUCUGCAACUCGACUCCAUGAAGUUGGAAUCGCUAGUAAUCGCGGAUCAGCAUGCCGCGGUGAAUACGUUCCCGGGCCUU